GAUGAACGCUGGCGGCGUGCCUAAUACAUGCAAGUCGAGCGAACGGACGAGAAGCUUGCUUCUCUGAUGUUAGCGGCGGACGGGUGAGUAACACGUGGAUAACCUACCUAUAAGACUGGGAUAACUUCGGGAAACCGGAGCUAAUACCGGAUAAUAUUUUGAACCGCAUGGUUCAAAAGUGAAAGACGGUCUUGCUGUCACUUAUAGAUGGAUCCGCGCUGCAUUAGCUAGUUGGUAAGUUAACGGCUUACAAAGGCAACGAUGCAUAGCCGACCUGAGAGGGUGAUCGGCCACACUGGAACUGAGACACGGUCCAGACUCCUACGGGAGGCAGCAGUAGGGAAUCUUCCGCAAUGGGCGAAAGCCUGACGGAGCAACGCCGCGUGAGUGAUGAAGGUCUUCGGAUCGUAAAACUCUGUUAUUAGGGAAGAACAUAUGUGUAAGUAACUGUGCACAUCUUGACGGUACCUAAUCAGAAAGCCACGGCUAACUACGUG
rnacentral:rRNA from 1 species